GUAGUUACCAAAAGGUGCCUGGGUUCGAAUCUGUGACUGUAACAGCAUUCAGGCAAGGUAGUGUUAUAGCUGAUUUAACCAUGAGUCAUGGUGACAUCGACUGGGCUCAGAUAAAAGCACAAAAUGCAGAUCUGAAACUCCAACUCCAAAAAGCAGGUCUUGAUGUUGCUGAAAACUUUCUUUCUGAAAGUGUUGAAAGAGAACUUCUCGAAACGGAAGACCCCCACGCUGGAGAUGCUGCUAUGGUAUUAAAAUGCCCUGAAUCAAGUGACACAGUUGUUGAACCAGAAUGGAGGUUCAAAGGAAAAACACUCACUAACUCAAACAAAUAUCAGAUUUCAUCUAAGACUCUCACCGUCACAGGAGUUGCCCUUAGUGACCAGGGUCUUUACGGGUGCAGAUAUGACAGAACCUCAGCACCAACUCUCUUUUAUUGGAACACUGUAACUAUCAAACAAAACCCUGAGAUUCAACCAAAUUUUCUUACAAAAUCUGUUAUUUGUGAAGCAGAGGUUCUUGUGGAGUGCUGUGUGAGGAACCCAUACAAAGUCAAACUGAUUGAUGUUGGAGAUAC